UGCCGGCGACCGGCGACGGGUGCGUAACGCGUAUGUAACCUACCUUUGACAGGGGGAUAACAUCGAGAAAUUGGUACUAAUACCCCAUAACAUCACCGGAGGCAUCUUCGGUGGUUGAAAACUCAGGUGGUCAGAGAUGGACAUGCGUUGUAUUAGCUAGUUGGUGAGGUAACGGCUCACCAAGGCGACGAUACAUAGGGGGACUGAGAGGUCAACCCCCCACAUUGGUACUGAGACACGGACCAAACUCCUACGGAAGGCAGCAG
rnacentral:rRNA from 1 species